rnacentral:rRNA from 1 species
AUACGAAGGUCCCGAGCGUUAUUCGGAAUCACUGGGCGUAAAGAGUACGUAGGCGGUUUGGUAAGUCAGGUGUGAAAUCCCGGAGCUCAACUCCGGAACUGCAUCCGAUACUGCCAGACUUGAGUAAUGGAGAGGCAGGUGGAAUUCUCGGUGUAGCAGUGAAAUGCGUGGAUAUCGAGAGGAAGACCAAUGGCGAAGGCAGCCUGCUGGACAUUUACUGACGCUGAGGUACGAAGGCUAGGGGAGCGAAAGGGAUUAGAAACCCGAGUAGUCC